UGUACUACCGGGGGCGGGGCUGCCAAGGGAGGAGGAAGAUGGCGGCGGGGGCGAGGUGAGGUGUUGGCAGUGGAAAGGGGUUCGGGCGUGGGGGGCGGGGGCCGCGGGGAGAUGGCCCGCUCCGGCCGCAGGGGCGGAUAAAAAGCCGUCACGCCGCGGGAGCGGGCGGGAGGGAGAGAGGGUGCCCGAGCGCCACAAGAGUAUGACGGGGCUGUACGAGUUGGUGUGGCGGGUGCUGCACGCGCUGUUCUGCCUGCACCGCACGCUCACCUCCUGGCUCCGCGUUCGGUUCGGCACCUGGAACUGGAUCUGGCGGCGCUGCUGCCGCGCCGUCUCUGCCGCGGUCCUAGCGCCACUCGGCUUCACGCUCCGCAAGUCCCAGGCGAUCGGCAGGAACCGCCGUUACCAUAGGCACCCACGCGGGGGGUCGUGCCUGGCCGCUGCCCAUCACCGGCUGCGCUGGCGCGCGGACGGCCGUUCCCUGGAGAAGCUGCCUAUGCACAUGGGCCUGGUGUUCACCGAGGUGGAGCAGGAGCCCAGCUUCUCGGAUAUCGCAAGCCUCGUGGUGUGGUGUAUGGCCGUGGGCAUUUCCUACAUUAGCGUCUACGACCACCAAGGUAUUUUCAAAAGAAAUAAUUCCCGAUUGAUGGAUGAAAUUUUAAAACAACAACAAGAACUUCUGGGCCUAGAUUGUUCAAAAUAUUCACCAGAGUUUGCAAAUAGUAAUGACAAAGAUGAUCAAGUUUUAAAUUGCCAUUUGGCAGUGAAGGUGCUGUCCGCGGAAGAUGGAAAAGCAGAUAUUGUGAGAGCUGCUCAGGACUUUUGCCAGUUAGUAGCCCAGAAACAAAAGAGACCCACAGAUUUGGAUGUAGAUAUGUUAGGCAGUUUACUUAGUUCAAAUGGUUGUCCUGAUCCUGAUUUAGUAUUGAAGUUUGGUCCUGUGGACAGCACAUUAGGCUUUCUUCCCUGGCACAUCAGAUUGACUGAGAUUGUGUAAGGAAAACAGGAAAGAGACAUUGUUCAGGCUUGUCACAAAGUGAGUUAGAACCCAGAUCUCCAGACUCAGAGUUUCUUUAUGCUCUUUGCCUUCCCACCUAAACAUCAGUUAUGAGGACUUUUUCUCUGCCCUUCGUCAAUAUGCAGCCUGUGAACAGCGGCUGGGAAAGUAGUGGUCAUAGGUUGCAUAAUUUGAUUUUAGGGUUAUGGAGGAAAGGAUCCAAGUGACUCUGAUGUUUACAAAGCACCCCCUACACACCUAGUUCAUAAUCCUCAUAAUUUAUCAGCAAAUACAAAAAAGUGUCUUACUUGAGAUUGAGUGUGUGUGUGUGUGUGUGCGCGUGUGCACGUGCACACAUGUGCACGUUUGUAUGUGUGGAAAUAAACUUAUAAAUGGGGAUGUAUUAGAGAAGGAAAUACAUACACCUACAACUUUGAGCAGAUAGCAGCGAUGUUUUAGGAACUGGAAUGUCACACUUAACAUCUUCAGCCCCAGCUACUUCCCUGUUUUUGUGGGGAGUAGAGGGCCUGAUAGAACUUUUCAGGUUGUGUUUGAUGGGAGGGGAAUAAUUUUUGUUCAGUCCUUCUUAGUGACCAAACUUUAAUUUUUAAGAAUAAUAUAUUGACUUACUGAAUUGAAGCAUUCUGAGUUUAAAGGAGCUCCAGAGGAAUGGAGUUUUGUGUUGCUCUUGUGUUAAAAGCUUGCUCACCUUCAGAGAGAGCAGAGGGAAUACCUAUCUUCAUAUAUCCGUCCAUUUUCAUCUCUUUAUUACAGUCACAGUGUGACUUGAGAGUGUUGCUCUGGUGUCUGUAUUCUGGGUUAUGAAACUCUUACUGCAUUGAAAUAUAGACUUUAAAAAAUUUAAAUAUUGGUAGGCAGUCAAAAAAAGCAAACAAGCAUAAAAGGUGAAUAUGUUGUAAUCUUAAAAGAUGGAGAACUCAUUUAAAAAGGAAAGAAGGUUUUGAUUUCCUUUUUUGUUUGAUGGGCAGCAUGCUGUAUCAUACCCAAAGUUGGUUUAAAAAGUAUUUCCAUCAACUAUUUUUAUUUAAAAUAAACAUUUGAGGGAAGUUACUAAGGCAGCUUUUUUCCUCAAAAGUAACCUGGUUACUCUUUGGAAUAGCACAUUUUAGGGCCAUGGUUAAUACCUGAGACUUUUACUCAGUAAGUCCUGAUGAUUACUGUGUAUAAAAGGAUUGAAGGCCUGUGUGGGGAAUAAAAUAUUACCAAAGUCUAUCAAAAUAAAUUUUACAUGUUCUCUUUUAUGACAGAGAGCAGCACUGGUUCUGUUAUUUUUAAAAUGAAUAAUUGAUUUCUUUUUUUUUUUUUUUGAGACAGAGUUUCGCUCUUGUUACCCAGGCUGGAGUGCAGUGGCGCGAUCUCGGCUCACCGCAACCUCUGCCCCCUGGGUUCAGGCAAUUCUCCUGCCUCAGCCUCCUGAGUAGCUGGGAUUACAGGCACGCGCCACCGUGCCCAGCUAAUUUUUUGUAAUUUUUAGUAGAGACAGGGUUUCACCAUGUUGACCAGGAUGGUCUCGAUCUGUUGACCUCGUGAUCCACCCGCCUUGGCCUCCCAAAGUGCUGGGAUUACAGGCUUGAGCCACUGCGAAUAAUUGAUUUCUUGAUAUGUGUCUAAUAUUUCUUCCCUCACUGCUGAUUCUUAGAUAGAAACCAUUCUUUAUAUUUGAUAGACUGUUUUCAGAAAACCCUUAUCAACAAGUGUAUAGUAGUUUUCUAAAACCUUACAUUUAGAAUGGAGCAGUUUAAUACUAGAUCUCAGAAGUUUGAAAAUAGCAAAGAAGAUUGGAUUUGAAAAGCAUGGUCUACAAUUCCUUGUAAAAUUCUGAAGCUAUGAAGGAUAAAUGUUUCAACGCUGGAUUAUGAAACCCCAUUUAUGAUUUUUAAAAUACACUUGAAAUAAAAAUGAUUAAACUAAAUUUUGGUCCAGUGACAUUACUUUGCACUGCAUCGUCCAUUAUACAUUGUGUAAGACUUUGUUUCUGUUUUAAUUUAUUACUGAGAGUUUUGUGUGAAGCUACAGCAUAUCUAAUUAGAGAAUUUGUUUGCUUAUACUGUAUACUGUGAUUUAUGUUAUAUUGAGGCAUUUCUAGUGCAGCUUGAGACUGAAUUUAUGCGUUUUAUAAACAUGAUAGGUAUAAAUGUCUUAUAAACAUUCUGGAGUAUGUAUAGCUUUAAUGAAUGAAAUGUAAUGGACCUGAUAAAAAUGAAGGUUUUUAAUCUUUGUUAAAGGGAAGUUAGUCAAAUAUAUUACCUACUGGAAUAUAGCCCAAGCCACUAAAGGUUCAAUAUUUGCGUUUUUGUACUUUUAUUUUCUCAUUCCAUUCAUAAGUAUAUACUUGAAAGUACAUCUGUAGCCUGUGACUUCGGUUUCUUCAAGUUCUAGGAAGAGACCCUUACCACAAACUACUAGGAUUCUGAUUUCAAUUAUAGGCAUUCCAGAACCUUCUCUUUAUGAGUUCGCCUGCUAGUACAGUCUCUACAGCUUGAAUGCCAUUGGUUGUUCUAUACUUCCUGCCAAAAUCAUCACAAGUUGUACAUCAUCAAGGCUCCCUUUCCACUCCCAAGAAAAACUGAUAAUUUUAAACAAAAGUAUGUGUCUUUAUUUAUAUUGGAAUAUACUGUCUUUAAAUUGUUUCUUCUUGACAAUCUCCACAAUGAAAAUAUUAUACCAAAUUAAACCUAUUUUAUGUAUGGCAGCUUGGAGCAUAGCAGGAAGUUAGAUGAUUUGAAUUCCAUUCCCAGUUCUCAUUGUGUUUUGUUUCUUAAAACUAUAAUAAUUGGUUACUGUUACAAAGUUUAAAAGGUGGUUUUAAUGUGAAUUGCAAAUUCUGGUAUAUUGUGACUGAUGCUUAAGAAUGCCUGUCUUUGAGAGGAAGGUGUUAUAAUAUUAAUGAACAGUGCCAAAUACACUGUGCAUAUCUAUAAUUUAUUCUUUGAAUGUAUGUUACUGGAUUAGCUCCCGCUUCUGUGUGAUGGUACCAUGCAUAGAGUCAAUCAAAUCCUUGUGAUGUUUUGUAUGGACUUUGACAACAUGUAAAUAAUGUGUAAAGCAAGUUUUUAUGAUUAAGGAAUCAAAUUUAUUGAAUUUUAUUAUUGAAAGUUGAAACUUAAUAUGUAUGAACAAAAAUCAAUAAAAGAAUAUACUCUUUUCAUGGAC